rnacentral:tRNA from 1 species
ACCUGAGUGGCUCAGUCGGUUAAGCAUCUGACUUUAGCUCAGGUCAUAAUCUCACAGUUCAUGAGUUUGAGUCCCGCUUCAGGUG